CCUACGGGAGGCAGCAGUGGGGAAUAUUGCACAAUGGGGGAAACCCUGAUGCAGCAACGCCGCGUGAAGGAAGACGGUUUUCGGAUUGUAAACUUCUGUUCUUAGUGAAGAAUAAUGACGGUAGCUAAGGAGCAAGCCACGGCUAACUACGUGCCAGCAGCCGCGGUAAUACGGGGGGUGCAAGCGUUGUCCGGAAUCAUUGGGCGUAAAGAGUUCGUAGGCGGCACGUAAAGUCUGGUGUUAAAGGCAGAGGCUCAACUUCUGUACGGCACUGGAUACUUGCGAGCUAGAAUGCGGUAGAGGUAAAGGGAAUUCCUGGUGUAGCGGUGAAAUGCUUAGAUAUCAGGAGGAACAUCGGUGGCGUAAGCGCUUUACUGGGCCGUAAUUGACGCUGAGGAACGAAAGCCAGGGUAGCAAAUGGGAUUAGAUACCCCUGUAGUC
rnacentral:rRNA from 1 species